GACGAAGGAUGCAAGCGUUAUCCGGACUCAUUGGGUUUAAAGGGAGCGUAGGUGGCCUUAUAAGUCAGUGGUGAAAUCUCUGGGCUUAACCCAGAAAUUGCCAUUGAUACUGUAGGGCUUGAGUAUAGUUGCCGUUGGCGGAAUAUGACAUGUAGUGGUGAAAUUCGUAGAUAUUGGGAAGAACACCGAUGGCGAAGGCAGCCAUCUGGACCGACACUGACGCUGAGGCGCGAAAGCGUGGGGAGCAAACAGG
rnacentral:rRNA from 1 species